UUGUACUGAUUGAGAUUUUAACACGAAGUGAGUGGCGAACGGGUGAGUAACACGUGGGUAACCUGCCCAGAAGUAGGGGAUAACACCUGGAAACAGAUGCUAAUACCGUAUAACAGAGAAAACCGCAUGGUUUUCUUUUAAAAGAUGGCUCUGCUAUCACUUCUGGAUGGACCCGCGGCGUAUUAGCUAGUUGGUGAGGUAAAGGCUCACCAAGGCAGUGAUACGUAGCCGACCUGAGAGGGUAAUCGGCCACAUUGGGACUGAGACACGGCCCAGACUCCUACGGGAGGCAGCAGUAGGGAAUCUUCCACAAUGGACGCAAGUCUGAUGGAGCAACGCCGCGUGAGUGAAGAAGGGUUUCGGCUCGUAAAGCUCUGUUGUUAAAGAAGAACGUGGGUAAGAGUAACUGUUUACCCAGUGACGGUAUUUAACCAGAAAGCCACGGCUAACUACGUGCCAGCAGCCGCGGUAAUACGUAGGUGGCAAGCGUUAUCCGGAUUUAUUGGGCGUAAAGCGAGCGCAGGCGGUCUUUUAAGUCUAAUGUGAAAGCCUUCGGCUCAACCGAAGAAGUGCAUUGGAAACUGGGAGACUUGAGUGCAGAAGAGGACAGUGGAACUCCAUGUGUAGCGGUGAAAUGCGUAGAUAUAUGGAAGAACACCAGUGGCGAAGGCGGCUGUCUGGUCUGCAACUGACGCUGAGGCUCGAAAGCAUGGGUAGCGAACAGGAUUAGAUACCCUGGUAGUCCAUGCCGUAAACGAUGAUUACUAAGUGUUGGAGGGUUUCCGCCCUUCAGUGCUGCAGCUAACGCAUUAAGUAAUCCGCCUGGGGAGUACGACCGCAAGGUUGAAACUCAAAGAAUUGACGGGGGCCCGCACAAGCGGUGGAGCAUGUGGUUUAA
rnacentral:rRNA from 1 species